rnacentral:rRNA from 1 species
GACGAACGCUGGCGGCGCGCUUAACACAUGCAAGUCGAGCGAGAACCAGUCCUUCGGGACUGGGGACAGCGGCGAACGGGUGAGUAACACGUGGGUAAUCUGUCCUCGGCACCGGAAUAGCCCGGGGAAACCCGGAUUAAUGCCGGAUGGCCUCUCUGCCCUUCGGGGCGGUGAGAAAAGGUAGCUUCGGCCUCCGGCCGAGGAUGAGCCCGCGGCCGAUUAGCUUGUUGGUGAGGUAACGGCUCACCAAGGCGACGAUCGGUAGCUGGUCUGAGAGGACGAUCAGCCACACUGGGACUGAGACACGGCCCAGACUCCUACGGGAGGCAGCAGUGGGGAAUCUUGCGCAAUGGGCGAAAGCCUGACGCAGCGACGCCGCGUGCGGGAAGAAGGCCUUCGGGUUGUAAACCGCUUUCAGGAGGGACGAAGCCACUCGGGUUAAUAGCCUAGAGGGUGACGGUACCUCCAGAAGAAGCCCCGGCUAACUACGUGCCAGCCGCCGCCGUAAGAC